rnacentral:rRNA from 1 species
CUGCUGCCUCCCGUAGGAGUCUGGGCCGUGUCUCAGUCCCAAUGUGGCCGGCCAACCUCUCAGUCCGGCUACUGAUCGUCGCCUUGGUGGGCCGUUACCCCGCCAACUAGCUAAUCAGACGCGAGUCCAUCUCAGAGCGAUAAAUCUUUGGCAGUCAGAGCCAUGCGGCCCAACUGCAUCAUGCGGUAUUAGCAGCUGUUUCCAGCUGUUAUUCCCCACUCCAAGGCAGGUU